rnacentral:rRNA from 1 species
CAGUCGCCGCGGUAAUACGUAGGUGGCAAGCGUUGUCCGGAAUUAUUGGGCGUAAAGGGCUCGCAGGCGGUUUCUUAAGUCUGAUGUGAAAGCCCCCGGCUCAACCGGGGAGGGUCAUUGGAAACUGGGAAACUUGAGUGCAGAAGGGGAGAGUGGAAUUCCACGUGUAGCGGUGAAAUGCGUAGAGAUGUGGAGGAACACCAGUGGCGAAGGCGACUCUCUGGUCUGUAACUGACGCUGAGGAGCGAAAGCGUGGGGAGCGAACAGGAUUAGAUACCCCAGUAGUCCCUGUCUCUUAUAU